CUACGGGUUGCUGCAGUUAGGGAUAUUCGGCAAUGGGGGAAACCCUGACCGAGCAAUGCCGCGUGAAUGAAGAAGUAUUUCGAUAUGUAAAGUUCUGUUGUUAAGGAAGAAAGGUACGAAUAGGAAAUGAUUCGUAAUUGACGGUACUUAACCAGAAAGUCCCUGCUAACUACGUGCCAGCAGCAGCGGUAAUACGUAGGGGGCGAGCGUUGUCCGGAAUUAUUGGGCGUAAAGGGUGCGUAGGCGGCCUGUCAAGUCCGAGUUGAAAGCCCACGGCUUAACCGUGGAGGGUGCUCGGAAACUGAUAGGCUUGAAUCCAGAAGAGGCAAGUGGAAUUCUAUGUGGAGCGGUGGAAUGCGUAGAUAUAUGGAGGAACACCAGUGGCGAAGGCGGCUUGCUGGGCUGGUAUUGACGCUGAUGCACGAAAGCGUGGGGAGCAAACAGGAUUAGAUACCCCGGUAGUC
rnacentral:rRNA from 1 species